UGAGUACGAGCUGCUACGGCAGCGAAGUGGGUGAUGUCAAGCUUCCAAGAAAAGCCCUAUACCCGUUAAGGCAUGACGGCCUGUACCCGAAACCGACACAGGUGGGGUGGUAGAGAAUACCGAGGGGCGCGAGAUAACUCUCUCUAAGGAACUCGGCAAAAUGGCCCCGUAACUUCGGGAGAAGGGGUGCCACCGCAAGGUGGUCGCAGUGAAGAGGCCCAGGCGACUGUUUACCAAAAACACAGGUCUCCGCUAAGUCGCAAGACGAUGUAUGGGGGCUGACGCCUGCCCAGUGCCGGAAGGUUAAGGAAGCUGGUCAGCGCAAGCGAAGCUAGCGACUGAAGCCCCGGUGAACGGCGGCCGUAACUAUAACGGUCCUAAGGUAGCGAAAUUCCUUGUCGGGUAAGUUCCGACCCGCACGAAAGGCGUAACGAUCUGGGCGCUGUCUCGGAGAGAGGCUCGGCGAAAUAGAAUUGUCUGUGAAGAUGCGGACUACGUGCACCCGGACAGAAAGACCCUAUGAAGCUUUACUGUAGCUUGGUAUUGUGCCCGGGCUCUGAAUGCGCAGGAUAGGUGGGAGGCUUUGAUCCAUUGCUUGUGGGUAAUGGUGAGCCACUGGUGAGAUACCACUCUUUCAGAGCUAGGGUUCUAACGGUCACCCGUUAUCCGGGGACCGGACAGUAUCAGGUGGGCAGUUUGACUGGGGCGGUCGCCUCCUAAAAGGUAACGGGGGCGCGCAAAGGUUCCCUCAGGCUGGUUGGAAAUCAGCCGACGAGUGUAAAGGCAGAAGGGAGCUUGACUGUGAGACCUACAAGUCGAACAGGGACGAAAGUCGGCCUUAGUGAUCCGACGGUUCUGAGUGGAAGGGCCGUCGCUCAACGGAUAAAAGUUACUCUAAGGAUAACAGGCUGAUCUCCCCCAAGAGUUCACAUCGACGGGGAGGUUUGGCACCUCGAUGUCGGCUCAUCGCAACCUGGGGCUGAAGUCGGUCCCAAGGGUUGGGCUGUUCGCCCAUUAAAGCGGUACGCGAGCUGGGUUCAGAACGUCGUGAGACAGUUCGGUCCAUAUCCGGUGCACGCGCAGGAACAUUGAGAGGAUUUCUCCCUAGUACGAGAGGACCGGGAGGAACGCACCUCUGGUGUACCAGUUAUCGUGCCAACGGUAAACGCUGGGUAGCCAUGUGCGGAGCGGAUAACCGCUGAAAGCAUCUAAGUGGGAAGCCCACCUCAAGAUGAGUGUUCCCAUGGCUUAAGCCAGUAAGGUCACGGGAAGAACACCCGUUGAUAGGCUCUACGUGGAAGCGUGGCAACACGUGAAGCGGAGGAGUACUAAUAGACCGAGGGCUUGACC
rnacentral:rRNA from 1 species